rnacentral:rRNA from 1 species
UAAUGCAUAGGAAUCUGCCCGAUAGUGGGGGAUAACCUGGGGAAACCCAGGCUAAUACCGCAUACGUCCUACGGGAGAAAGGGGGCUCCGGCUCCCGCUAUGGGAUGAGCCUAUGUCGGAUUAGCUAGUUGGUGAGGUAACGGCUCACCAAGGCCACGAUCCGUAGCUGGUCUGAGAGGAUGAUCAGCCACAUCGGGACUGAGACACGGCCCGAACUCCUACGGGAGGCAGCAGUGGGGAAUAUUGGACAAUGGGGGAAACCCUGAUCCAGCCAUGCCGCGUGUGUGAAGAAGGCCCUCGGGUUGUAAAGCACUUUCAGCGAGGAAGAACGCCUAGCGGUUAAUACCCGCUAGGAAAGACAUCACUCGCAGAAGAAGCACCGGCUAACUCCGUGCCAGCAGCCGCGGUAAUACGGAGGGUGCAAGCGUUAAUCGGAAUUACUGGGCGUAAGCGCGCGUAGGUGGCUUGAUAAGCCGGUUGUGAAAGCCCCGGGCUCAACCUGGGAACGGCAUCCGGAACUGUCAAGCUAGAGUGCAGGAGAGGAAGGUAGAAUUCCCGGUGUAGCGGUGAAAUGCGUAGAGAUCGGGAGGAAAUACCA